rnacentral:lncRNA from 1 species
GCAUCUCCUCGUGCAACCUGGCCCACUCAACCUCAAAGAACGGAGGGGGAAAAGAAAGGAAAAGAGGAGGAAAGUGGUCGCGUCAGCAGGCCGACAGCAGAGCGAGAUCCAGAGACCACCAGCGGCAGAGGACUGUCCAGCCACAGCGGCUGCAGUUAUAGCCACCACCACCACCACCACCUUCCUCCCUCCCUCCUCCGAUCCCAUCUCCGUCCUCCCCUCCCGUCGCCUCCGCCUCCCCCGACCUCCCUCUCCGAGGUAACCAACCCCUCCCUCACCCUCUCUCUCUCUC